CGGGAGAAUCCUGAAUUCGAAAGGGGUCGGAUUCAAGUCCUACCGGCAGAACGGGGCGUCCCUGCCAGAUGGCGCCGGUCGCCCGCGGCGAUUCACUUCGUCCGCGGUGUCGUUCCCGGCGGUCACUCGGCUGCGCGACGCUUACCCGGCUCUGGAGGGGUGCACUUCCCCCCCGUGUAGAAACGUCGCGACCCGUUGGGUGCCGGCCUCAAGGCCCGGGAUGGCAGACCUUGCCUCCCGCGGGGGAUCCCGCGGGCGGUGCGGACUCCCGGUGACCCGGCCGGCUGCUCGACGGUAUGACCUGAGGGGUCGAUCCGCUAGUUGGAAACACUAUGGCUGUGUAGCGUCCGGCCCGACGCCGAUGUGCGCGGGGCCAUGGCUAACGCCGGGGGCGCCCGUGCUGGGCACGACCCCUGCCCCGAAUACGUGUCUUCUGGUGUUCGGUGUCCUCGGACCGGAUCAGAACCCCCGUCUGCGACGCCCACCUUCGGAUGGUCUCCCG
rnacentral:rRNA from 1 species